GAAGCCCAGAACGAGAUGGGACGUAGUAACUCCACCUUACUUCUGAUUACUUCUUCAGGAAAAGGAGGCUCCACAAGGUCAACAGCAGCUCUUGUGUCCAUAUCAGUUAUUUCCCUGGUGAUCAUGAUCCUCACUGUCCUCUUCAUCUGAAGAAAAAGGUCCUCACGAAGCUUUUUCCUGGGAAAGAGAUCAGACAACUGCUGAGGUGACUUUCAUCAUUUUAUAUAUAACUUAAUAUUAUGGCUGUCGAUAGAUUAAAAACAAUAACUAAUUAAUCGCUCGUUUUGAAAUGUAUUAAUCCCGAUUAAUGAAUGAUGUUGUUGCUACAAAGUUUAGAUAUUUUCAUCUUGUUCAUCUCCAAAAGGCCAGACUAUAUCGCAAUGUGGCCAUCGGGGGGGUUGUGGUUGUUUGGGGGUGUUAGGGAUUUAAGCCAGAAGUGCACCCCUAGUCAGGAAAUUAUAGUACGUGUAAUAAUGUUUAGUGUUAGAAUUA